rnacentral:misc_RNA from 1 species
CAAGGGUGAUUGGAGAAGCAUUUCCAGGAAUGUUGUGGUGACAAGAACACCAACGCAAGUGGCUAGUCAUGCCCAAAAGUACUUCCUACGGCAAAAUUCUGUGAAGAAAGAGAGAAAAAGGUCAAGCAUCCAUGAUAUCACCACCAUCGAUAACAACUCGAGUGUUGUGCCUGUCAAUCAAAAUUGGAUCCCUCCUCCAAGUGCUCCAAUUGCUCCAAUUCACCAACCCUCUGUUUUUCAUGAUAUGCCCCUAGCAAGCCAUAUGCCAAACCAAGGAGGUUCAAUGGGGUAUCAAAACUAUGGCUUCCCUAUGUAGAGUUUCAUUGUAAAAAUGUAAUCUGUAUAUAUUGUAGCUACUUGAUUGAUGUCCAAUUUGUAUAAUUCAUUAGUGUUCUUUUAGUUAUAGCUAAUUAAGAACAAAGUGAAGUGUAUUUAGUAG